GUGCUCACUUCAGCAGCAUAUAUACUAAAAAAAUUUGGAAUGAUAACAGAAUAGAUUAGUAUGGCCCCUGCACAAGGAUGACACCCACAUUCAUGACGUAUUCCAUAAAAUA